AUGGAAUCUAUAAAACCAAGACAGUUACCAAAACAAAGGACGUUCGCACACCUGCUCCAAAUUUCUUUUUUUUUUAUACUGCAAUAUUGCUAUUAUUUUUUCAGUUUUACAGUUUUUGAUAUUUUUCCAGUUUCGUUUAGAAUUUCCGUAAGCAAAGAAAACCAUCACCAUCAAAGCAAUAUUUCUUCACAUUGGAGGAAUAUUGCAACUUUAGUUUUCCUUCUAGCUUCUAGAAUUCGUUUAUGUUUAUUUUUUUCUUCAAGAUAUUUUAUUCCGAAGUUAAGCAUGCCGGCUUGUGGAGGAUAG